GGGGGAGGCGGGAUCCUGGGCUGGGUCCCGCGCCCUGUGCUCCGGGGCCUGCGCUGUUGGAUUCCCACUCCCGCCCCGCAGCGCCCU
rnacentral:pre_miRNA from 1 species